CCUACGGGAGGCAGCAGUGGGGAAUAUUGCACAAUGGGGGGAACCCUGAUGCAGCAACGCCGCGGGGGUGAAGCAGUACUUCGGUAUGUAAAGCCCUGUCAGCAGGGAAGAAAAUGACGGUACCUGACCAAGAAGCCCCGGCUAACUACGUGCCAGCAGCCGCGGUAAUACGUAGGGGGCAAGCGUUAUCCGGAUUUACUGGGUGUAAAGGGAGCGUAGACGGCAAGGCAAGUCUGGAGUGAAAGCCCGUGGCUCAACCACGGGACUGCUUUGGAAACUGUGUUGCUGGAGUGCAGGAGGGGUAAGCGGAAUUCCUAGUGUAGCGGUGAAAUGCGUAGAUAUUAGGAGGAACACCGGUGGCGAAGGCGGCUUACUGGACUGUAACUGACGUUGAGGCUCGAAGGCGUGGGGAGCAAACAGGAUUAGAUACCCCGGUAGUC
rnacentral:rRNA from 1 species